rnacentral:rRNA from 1 species
UACGUAGGUGGCAAGCGUUGUCCGGAUUUACUGGGCGUAAAGGGAGCGUAGGCGGAUACUUAAGUGGGAUGUGAAAUACCUGGGCUUAACUUGGGUGCUGCAUUCCAAACUGGGUGUCUAGAGUGUUGGAGAGGAAAGUGGAAUUCCUAGUGUAGCGGUGAAAUGCGUAGAGAUUAGGAAGAACACCAGUGGCGAAGGCGACUUUCUGGACAAUAACUGACGCUGAGGCUCGAAAGCGUGGGGAGCAAACAGGAUUAGAUACCCUGGUAGUCCACGCCGUAAACGAUGGGUACUAGGUGUAGGAGGGAUCGACUCCUCAUGUGCCGCCGUUAACACAAUAAGUACCCCGCCUGGGGAGUACGGUCGCAAGAUUAAA